UAUUAAAAAUUACAUCCGUUUGUACUGUUAAAAGCUGACGUGGUUGAUGGAAUAACUUAGUGACAUGUGGCUUGUCGCAUGUACCUCAUGCUAACAUAUAGGGAUCAGUUUUUGACCGCAAAAAUAAAUGAAGUUUUUAACA
rfam:Gossypium hirsutum cultivar TM-1 unplaced genomic scaffold scaffold1957.1, whole genome shotgun sequence